GGGAUGAGUAUUAAUAUUUAAAUUCUAGUCUAAAGGUCGAAAGGAAGAUAGUGAAAGUGAAAUUUACUUGCGUGAAGUUAGCUGCAGGAUAGUUGGAGCCAAUAUUAUAGCUUGAAUGCAGAAGACUUACAAGGAUACUCUUUGGAUGGUUUCGUCAUAAACAAUAUUGUCUGUACAACGAUCGUCACGGUUAGCUGGUAUGGGCGGAC
rnacentral:lncRNA from 1 species